rnacentral:rRNA from 1 species
AUGUGUGCUAAUGUCGAUCUUGGAGUUCAUCUAAUAAAAGAGCAAUCUUGUUCCGAUCAUGUCCGUCUUAAUUUCAAUCCUUUUGAGAAGCCAACUGAACUGAAACGGAACUAUGCAUCGAAGUUCAUGAAUAAGGAGAUAUCUACUGUUCGCUUUGAUUAUGGAGUCUCAAUGGAGGAGGAUCCAGAUCCAGGGGGUAGUUGGGUACUGCGAAAUCAUUCAGUACAACUAAAGGAAGAAGUUGGUUCUACUGAGCCAAGAAACAUGUCUUCUCUUCAGUACGCAUGCUACACUGGUAUAAAUAAGCAUCUAUUUUUUUACUGUUGGUACAGCAGUUUACAUUGUUGA